rnacentral:rRNA from 1 species
UGAACGCUAGCGGCAGGCUUAACACAUGCAAGUCGAGGGGUAGAGUCAGCUUGCUGACUUGAGACCGGCGCACGGGUGCGUAACGCGUAUGCAAUCUGCCUUUUACAAAGGGAUAGCCCAGAGAAAUUUGGAUUAAUACCUUAUAGCAUUAUAGGAUGGCAUCAUCUUAUGAUUAAAGAUUUAUCGGUAAAAGAUGAGCAUGCGUCCCAUUAGCUAGUUGGUGAGGUAACGGCUUACCAAGGCUAUGAUGGGUAGGGGUCCUGAGAGGGAGAUCCCCCACACUGGUACUGAGACACGGACCAGACUCCUACGGGAGGCAGCAGUGAGGAAUAUUGGACAAUGGGCGCACGCCUGAUCCAGCCAUGCCGCGUGCAGGAUGAAGCAUCUAUGGUGUGUAAACUGCUUUUAUACGGGAAGAACCCUGGACGUGUCCCAGACUGACGGUACCGUAGGAAUAAGGAUCGGCUA